rnacentral:rRNA from 1 species
AGAGUUUGAUCAUGGCUCAGAUUGAACGCUGGCGGAAUGCUUUACACAUGCAAGUCGAACGGCAGCACGGACUUCGGUCUGGUGGCGAGUGGCGAACGGGUGAGUAACAUAUCGGAACGUAUCCAAUAAUGGGGGAUAACUAAUCGAAAGGUUGGCUAAUACCGCAUACGCCCUACGGGGGAAAGCUAGGGACCUUCGGGCCUGGCGUUAAUGGAGCGGCCGAUAUCUGAUUAGCUAGUUGGUGGGGUAAAGGCCCACCAAGGCGACGAUCAGUAGCUGGUCUGAGAGGACGACCAGCCACACUGGAACUGAGACACGGUCCAGACUCCUACGGGAGGCAGCAGUGGGGAAUUUUGGACAAUGGGCGCAAGCCUGAUCCAGCCAUUCCGCGUGAGUGAAGAAGGCCUUCGGGUUGUAAAGCUCUUUCGCAAGGGAAGAACACUUAGCUCCUAAUAUGAGCUGAGGUUGACGGUACCUUGAUAAGAAGCACCGGCUAACUACGUGCCAGCAGCCGCGGUAAUACGUAGGGUGCGAGCGUUAAUCGGAAUUACUGGGCGUAAAGCG